GCUUUUAAAGGAGAACAGCCAUCCAUUGACCUUAGGAGCCAACAUCUCUUGGUGCAAGUCCAAGUAAAAGCUG
rnacentral:tRNA from 1 species